GCCUGGGUGGCUCAGUUGGUUAAGCGUCCGACUUCGGCUCAGGUCAUGAUCUCAUGGUCUGUGGGUUCGAGCCCCACAUCAGGCU
rnacentral:tRNA from 1 species